rnacentral:lncRNA from 1 species
UUUUAUUUAUGAUAAAUGAAUUUACUUAAAUUAAGAGCUUCAUUAGUUGUUUUCAUGAUUUUUACUAACUUUCAUUUCUGUAUCGGUGAGUAGUAUGACAUUCUUACUGGGUUAGUGUAGCUCACUCUUUCAUUACCAUUUCAGAUCAAGAGGACCAAGAUCUAGAUCCUGAUCCACAAGAGGGUUGCGAAUAGGAUGUUCAAUUAUUUACUUUCCAGUUAUUUCUUUGAUUUUUCGUUGUUCUUUUAGAAGGGUCAUUCCAGUAGCCCUAUUGGGUAUUCUGAAUUAUUGUGUAAAGAAUGUAAACUCUAACGUUAUUAUUUCACUUUUGCAAUCGAUU